rnacentral:rRNA from 1 species
UACGAAGGGGGCUAGCGUUGCUCGGAAUCACUGGGCGUAAAGGGCGCGUAGGCGGCCGAUUAAGUCGGGGGUGAAAGCCUGUGGCUCAACCACAGAAUUGCCUUCGAUACUGGUUGGCUUGAGACCGGAAGAGGACAGUGGAACUGCGAGUGUAGAGGUGAAAUUCGUAGAUAUUCGCAAGAACACCAGUGGCGAAGGCGGCUCACUGGCCCGAUACUGACGCUGAGGCACGAAAGCGUGGGGAGCAAACAGG